ACGUCAGAACUGUUUCGGUCUUCCAUCAGGGUUUCCCCUGACUUCAACCUGAUCAAGUAUAGUUCACCAUCUUUCGGGUCACAGCAUAUAUGCUCAAGGUACGUUCCAGUUAGAGGUAUAAAUAAUAUAAAUAUCAUUAUACAUAACUAUAUAGAACGCCCCGGGAUUGUGUUAAUCAACUAUAAAUAGUAGAAAAACUAAUCCCAUUAAUAGUCAAGUUAAUUACGCUAUUAGGUUU
rnacentral:rRNA from 1 species